AGUGAACGCUGGCGGUAGGCCUAACACAUGCAAGUCGAACGGCAGCACAGUAAGAGCUUGCUCUUACGGGUGGCGAGUGGCGGACGGGUGAGGAAUACAUCGGAAUCUACUUUUUCGUGGGGGAUAACGUAGGGAAACUUACGCUAAUACCGCAUACGACCUACGGGUGAAAGCAGGGGAUCUUCGGACCUUGCGCGAUUGAAUGAGCCGAUGUCGGAUUAGCUAGUUGGCGGGGUAAAGGCCCACCAAGGCGACGAUCCGUAGCUGGUCUGAGAGGAUGAUCAGCCACACUGGAACUGAGACACGGUCCAGACUCCUACGGGAGGCAGCAGUGGGGAAUAUUGGACAAUGGGCGCAAGCCUGAUCCAGCCAUACCGCGUGGGGGAAGAAGGCCUUCGGGUUGUAAAGUCCUUUUGUUGGGAAAGAAAAGCAGCAGGUUAAUACCCCGCUGUUCUGACGGUACCCAAAGAAUAAGCACCGGCUAACUUCGUG
rnacentral:rRNA from 1 species